GUCUAUGGCCAUAUCACCCUGAAUAUGCCCGAUCUCUUCUGAUCUCGGAAGCUAAGCAGGGUCGGGCCUGGUUAGUCCUUGGAUGAGAGACUGGCUGGGAAUACCCGGUGCUAUAGGUU
ensembl:rRNA LOC120102040 5S ribosomal RNA